CUCUGAAUGAACGCCUCUCUGAGGAAGAUGCAGGCGGGGCCCACGAUGUUGUGUAGAACGGUGCAGUUCUGGACCACAGCACACAACGGCUCCUCAAACACUCUUCUCCUUUCAUCUUCCUCCUCUUCUUCCUCCAGGGCCCCCACACCCCCCGGCAUUGCCGCCGCAGCCAAUGGGGCUCCGCUCCCCUCCGAGGGCAAUACCCCCUUAGGGAGGGGAACCAAUCAAAUCGGUUAACCAACCACAUGCCAACCAAUCAGAAUGAUCAGAAAAGGUGUGUUCAGCCAAUAAAAAUGGCAGAUGUUUUGGGUUCUUGGCCAGCUGUUCUUUCUGUGUGGAUCUACCCAGCAGGACUUGGGUUCCAACAGAAGAUAAAGGCAUUGCUUGGAUUUAAACAGCCAGCGUAGUAAUACAGUUUAAAUACUGCUUAAAGCAGGGGUUACAUGAGACUCCUGCUUUAGAACAUUUAGAAUGCAAUGUCAAGGAACGUUUAGAAUGUCUAGGAACAUUUAGAAUGUCUAGGAACAGCUAGAAUGUCUAGGAACAGUUAGAAUGUCUAGGAACCGUUAGAAUGUCUAGGAACAGUUAGAAUGUCUAGGAACAGUUAGAAUGUCAAGGAACGUUUAGAAUGUCUAGGAACAUUUAGAAUGUCUAGGAACAGCUAGAAUGUCUAGGAACAGUUAGAAUGUCUAGGAACCGUUAGAAUGUCUAGGAACAGUUAGAAUGUCUAGGAACAGUUAGAAUGUCUAGGAACAUUUAGAAUGUCUAGGAACAGUUAGAAUGUCUAGGAACAGUUAGAAUGUCAAAGAACAGUUAGAAUGUCUAGGAAUAGUUAGAAUGUCUAGGAACAGUUAGAAUGUCUAGGAACAGUUAGAAUGUCUAGGAACAUUUAGAAUGUUUAGGAACCGUUAGAAUGUCUAGGAACAGUUAGAAUGUCUAGGAAUAGUUAGAAUGUCUAGGAACAGUUAGAAUGUCAAGCAACAGUUAGAAGCCAACAUUGUCUCGUUUUGCCGUGGAUGAUUGGGAAGAAGAUUCUGGCACAAAUGAGACAGAUGGUAUCAGCAUUAUGAGAAAUGGAUGAAGAAUAUGAGGGUGAAAAUGUCACAGUGAAUUAUGAUGUAAUAGUUGUAUUAUGAAAAACGAUGAUGUACUUCAUAUCUUCAUGAUCAAAUAAGCCCUGAAAUUGCUGCUGGAAUAUGUUCAAGUUGUACAUUAUGAUCAUUUGAGAAAUGGUCCAUUUUUUUCCUCAUAAAUGUAAUUUGCGUAAG